UACGUAGGUGGCGAGCGUUAUUCGGAUUUACUGGGCGUAAAGAGUUCGUAGGGGGUCUAUCAAGUCCGCCGUGAAAGGCCAUAGCUCAACUAUGGGAUUGCAGUGGAUACUGAUGGACUCGAGGGCCGGAGAGGAGAGUGGAAUUCCUGGUGUAGCGGUGGAAUGCGUAGAUAUCAGGAGGAACACCAAUGGCGAAGGCAGCUCUCUGGACGGUACCUGACCCUGAGGAACGAAAGCUGGGGGAGCAAACAGG
rnacentral:misc_RNA from 1 species